rnacentral:rRNA from 1 species
AAUCCACUGUGGAAUUCGCCCUUAGAGUUUGAUCCUGGCUCAGGAUGAACGCUAGCGGGAGGCCUAACACAUGCAAGUCGAACGGGAUUGGGAGCUUGCUCCCAUGAGAGUGGCGCACGGGUGAGUAACGCGUAUGCAACCUACCUUUAACUGAGGGAUAGCCCAUAGAAAUGUGGAUUAAUACCUCAUAGUUCUUUUGGCCCGCAUGGGUUGAAAGAUAAAGCUCCGGCGGUUAAAGAUGGGCAUGCGUGACAUUAGCUAGUUGGUAAGGUAACGGCUUACCAAGGCUACGAUGUCUAGGGGUUCUGAGAGGAUGAUCCCCCGCACUGGUACUGAGACACGGACCAGACUCCUACGGGAGGCAGCAGUGAGGAAUAUUGGUCAAUGGGCGCAAGCCUGAACCAGCCAUCCCGCGUGCAGGAUGACGGCCCUAUGGGUUGUAAACUGCUUUUAUACACCAAGAAAAACACCUACGUGUAGGUGCCCGACGGUAGUGUAUGAAUAAG